rnacentral:rRNA from 1 species
GCAAUGGGAUGCGAAUCUCGAAAGCCUGUCUCAGUUCGGAUUGGAGGCUGAAACCCGCCUCCAUGAAGUUGGAUUCGCUAGUAAUCGCGCAUCAGCCAUGGCGCGGUGAAUACGUUCCCGGGCCUUGUACACACCGCCCGUCAAGCCAUGGGAGCCGGGGGUGCCUGAAGUUCGUGACCGCAAGGAGCGACCUAGGGCAAAACUGGUGACUGGGGCUAAGUCGUAACAAGGUAGC